rnacentral:rRNA from 1 species
UACGUAGGGGGCUAGCGUUGUCCGGAAUCAUUGGGCGUAAAGCGCGUGUAGGCGGUCCGGUAAGUCCGCUGUGAAAGUCGGGGGCUCAACCCUCGAAUGCCGGUGGAUACUGUCGGGCUAGAGUGCGGAAGAGGCGGAGUGGAAUUCCUGGUGUAGCGGUGAAAUGCGCAGAUAUCAGGAGGAACACCAAUUGCGAAGGCAGCUCGCUGGGACGUAACUGACGCUGAGACGCGAAAGCGUGGGGGAGCAAACAGG